rnacentral:rRNA from 1 species
UACAGAGGUGGCAAGCGUUGUUCGGAAUUACUGGGCGUAAAGGGCGCGUAGGCGGUUCGUCAAGUCCUGUGUGAAAUCCCCCGGCUCAACUGGGGAACUGCACAGGAAACUAGCGGGCUUGAGUUCGGGAGAGGGAAGCGGAAUUCCGGGUGUAGCGGUGAAAUGCGUAGAUAUCCGGAGGAACACCGGUGGCAAAGGCGGCUUCCUGGACCGACACUGACGCUGAGGCGCGAAAGCUAGGGGAGCAAACGGG